rnacentral:rRNA from 1 species
UACGUAGGGGGCUAGCGUUGUCCGGAAUCAUUGGGCGUAAAGCGCGUGUAGGCGGUCCGGUAAGUCCGCUGUGAAAGCCAGGGGCUCAACCCUUGGAUGCCGGUGGAUACUGUCGGGCUUGAGUACGGAAGAGGCGAGUGGAAUUCCUGGUGUAGCGGUGAAAUGCGCAGAUAUCAGGAGGAACACCAAUUGCGAAGGCAGCUCGCUGGGACGUUACUGACGCUGAGACGCGAAAGCGUGGGGAGCAACCAGG